CCCUAGAUCCUUGGAGGAAGCAGAGAAUGGUGUGCCUGUCAACACUGUCCACUGUGCUCAACCACAAACUGUUGCGGUUUUGGAGCGUCUCUGCAAGAUGGUCAAGAACUUGGAGAAACUGGAAUCCGUGCUCAAAUAUUGACAGAAAUCACGGAUUUGGCUGAUCGACGCCACUAAAGAGACAUAAGCCACGGACUCAAGGCUGUCUUAAAUUCUUGGGCAGC